rnacentral:rRNA from 1 species
AGCGAACGUUUGCGGCGGGCCUAACACAUGCAAGUCGAACGAGAUCUCGGGCUUCGGUCCGGGUGAAAGUGGCGCACGGGUGCGUAACACGUGGGUAAUCAACCCUCUGGAUCGGGACAACCCGGGGAAACUCGGGCUAAUACCGGAUACGUCGUCGGAGCUCUAGGGCUCUGACGGGAAAGGCCUGCAAGGGCUACCAGAGGACGAGCUCGCGGCCCAUCAGCUAGUUGGUGAGGUAAUGGCUCACCAAGGCGAAGACGGGUAGCUGGUCUGAGAGGAUGAUCAGCCACACUGGAACUGAGACACGGUCCAGACUCCUACGGGAGGCAGCAGUGGGGAAUAUUGCGCAAUGGGCGAAAGCCUGACGCAGCCACGCCGCGUGUGCGAUGAAGGUCUUCGGAUCGUAAAGCACUGUGGGGGGAGAAGAACAAAGCUGGUGAAGAGCCAGCCCUGACGGUAUCCCCUUAGCAAGCACCGGCUAACUCCGUGCCAGC